GGUCAGGACGAACGCUGGCGGCGUGCCUAACACAUGCAAGUCGAACGGAGCAGGGGACUUCGGUCUCUGCUGAGUGGCGAACGGGUGAGUAACGCGUGAGCAACCUGACCUUGAGAGGGGGAUAACGACGGGAAACUGUCGCUAAUACCGCAUGAGACCACAGCCCGGCAUCGGGGAGGGGUCAAAGGAGAAAUCCGCUGAAGGAGGGGCUCGCGUCCCAUUAGAUAGUUGGCGGGGCAACGGCCCACCAAGUCGACGAUGGGUAGCCGAGCUGAGAGGCUGAUCGGCCACACUGGAACUGAGACACGGUCCAGACUCCUACGGGAGGCAGCAGUGGGGAAUAUUGGGCAAUGGGCGCCAAGCCUGACCCAGCAACGCCGCGUGAGGGAAGAAGGCUUUCGGGUUGUAAACCUCUGUCCUUGGUGACGAAGGAAGUGACGGUAGCCAAGGAGGAAGCCCCGGCUAACUACGUGCCAGCCGCGGC
rnacentral:rRNA from 1 species